UACGUAGGGGGCAAGCGUUGUCCGGAGUUACUGGGCGUAAAGGGCGCGUAGGCGGCUCUGUGCGUCACCCGUGAAAGCCCCCGGCUCAACCGGGGAGGGUCGGGUGAAACGGCGGAGCUGGAGGCAGCGAGAGGCUGGUGGAAUUCCCGGAGUAGUGGUGAAAUGCGUAGAGAUCGGGAGGAACACCGGUGGCGAAGGCGGCCAGCUGGCGCUGACCUGACGCUGAGGCGCGAAGGCGUGGGGAGCGAACGGG
rnacentral:rRNA from 1 species